AGUGAACGCUGGCGGUAGGCCUAACACAUGCGAGUCGAACGGCAGCACAGUAAGAGCUUGCUCUUACGGGUGGCGAGUGGCGGACGGGUGAGGAAUACAUCGGAAUCUACUUUUUCGUGGGGGAUAACGUAGGGAAACUUACGCUAAUACCGCAUACGACCUACGGGUGAAAGCAGGGGAUCUUCGGACCUUGCGCGAUUGAAUGAGUCGAUGUCGGAUUAGCUAGUUGGCGGGGUAAAGGCCCACCAAGGCGACGAUCCGUAGCUGGUCUGAGAGGAUGAUCAGCCACACUGGAACUGAGACACGGUCCAGACUCCUACGGGAGGCAGCAGUGGGGAAUAUUGGACAAUGGGCGCAAGCCUGAUCCAGCCAUACCGCGUGGGUGAAGAAGGCCUUCGGGUUGUAAAGCCCUUUUGUUGGGAAAGAAAAGCAGCAGGUUAAUACCCCGCUGUUCUGACGGUACCCAAAGAAUAAGCACCGGCUAACUACGUG
rnacentral:rRNA from 1 species